rnacentral:rRNA from 1 species
GACGUAGGGCGCGAGCGUUGUCCGGAUUUAUUGGGCGUAAAGAGCUCGUAGGCGGCUUGUCGCGUCGACCGUGAAAACUUGGGGCUCAACCCCAAGCCUGCGGUCGAUACGGGCAGGCUAGAGUUCGGUAGGGGAGACUGGAAUUCCUGGUGUAGCGGUGAAAUGCGCAGAUAUCAGGAGGAACACCGGUGGCGAAGGCGGGAUCUCUGGGCCGUACUGACGUCUGAGGUACGAAAGCGUGGGGAGCGAACAGG